rnacentral:lncRNA from 14 species
CUUCCUCCAGACGCCUGAUGGAGCAUGAGCAGUGGGAGGCCACAUCCAAAUUCAGGUCUCAGGGUUGGAGCAUAGGCAAGACACAAGUUGGUGGAGACAGAGACAGCCUAUGCUAGAAGUCUCCAGUAAUGGGUCACAGAGACAGC